GUCGCGUAUUCCUCUGCUCGCACCUGUCCUUCUCGAUCCGCCACCGCCGCCACCGUCCGCCGCCGCCGUCUCCGUACUAAAGGCAGUUCUCUGGUGAUUGCUCAUCUCCUCCUGGUUCCUUUUCUCAGACGACCUUCGCCACCCACGUGCUCUUGCUAUCAAUUGCAAUGUGCAACCGCCACGACGGCAACCCUCCACACUCCAUCUCCUCAAAUCCUUGCAAUCCCUAGGCUAUCGAUUGCUUGUUUGGUCCCCCUCACAGAAUUCCGGUCUGAGGUGAUGGACAUACGGAGGCGCUAUGGAUCAGUUAUUUUGUACAGCUGCAGGAUGUUCGGCGCCCCAGGCUUCCACAUCAAGCUCAUCAACAAGUCAGUUUAGUGCUUGAUUCAAGGCUUCAUCGAUUUUGGUGAGAGGGGCUUCACAGAGUAGAUGCAAUUCUGAAUAAGAUCUGCAAUAGGGACAUGAGCCAGCUUGAAGAAUUAUCCCCUAAAGAUUCUAGGAAGCAAAUUAACCAAGGAAGCGGAGAAGCAAAUGUGACGGAGCGAUUCGGCAUAAGUGUCAGGUCUGUCUUCAUGAGCCUCGUCCUUUGCCAGCUGAUGCAGAAGUGCGAGUCAAAAGGUUAGGUAGCAGCAGCUCUUUGCUGACACAGUUAAGUGCUAGCUGAAGCGCCGUGGGAGAAUUGUAGUUCAUUCGCCGCUGUUUAGGCAAGAAAUAACUCAACCGUUUUCUACAAGUCUUUAAUGGACCGCGGACGAUUGGAGGCUACAUAUGCUCAGCCGUUUCUACAAGAUGCAGUUAAGUUGCUAUUUCGCUUCUUAUACUCCGCCUACAUAUUCUCUGUACGGUCGUCCGGGCUCUUUCCUCCCCCUUUCUCCAGCUAGAACUUGUAGUAGAUCAAUUUUUUCUGACAACUAUUACCCCUUGUCCCUUCAAUGGUUUUAUUCAGUCUGGAUUCCUUCUAAUGUUUUGUUCUCCACGACUCCACUGUUACAUUUGUUUGCAGAUACUGUUGCCCAAGAUCUCUUUGUGGUUCUGGUAUCGAGGAGUUCCUAGAGGCUGGUUCUUACCUCUCUUUUUUUCCGAUCGGGAGUUCUGCCAGUGAAGAUUUCCAAUGGCUGUUGGCCAGGACGAGUGCAGCAAAGCGUGUCAUCAUGGUCUAGCAUAUUCAACUCUACUAGGAACGUGAACGUCACAUUUUCAAGAAAUUCAACACUUUGGCAGGAGUACAACAGACUGAAACCAUCGAGUUAUCAUGCAUGAUUUUUUCUUUGUCUUCACCUCUCAGAAGGCCAGCUAUAAGAAUGUUCCAAGGAGGGCAAGAGAUUGAUUUUUAUUCUUAUGCAAAUCGGUUUUUCCUGUAAAUAUUGCUGGUUCCAAAAAUUUGUUGGACAAUUCUACGUUCUCGUUUGUAUGGAUACUGUCAAUAAUCUGACUAUCAUAUAUAAGAGGCUCAUGGGAUUUGUCUUGAGCAAUGAAUGGUUUUCUUCUUCAGUGUGAAAUUGUACCAAGGGUAAGAGGUUUCAAAAAUAUUUUAGGACAUUCCAAAGUACCCAAUUGAAUGAAUCUUAUCUCAAGGUUGUAUGUCUUGUUAUAGCGGCAGUCCUCCCUCCGUUGUCAAGUAAGUUACUGUAGAAUUUGUACACUGUUUCUUGAAUCAACAUGGAUGCCACAUGUAUGAUAUGGUUACUUGUACAAAAUUUUGCUUACCGCUUCAUUUAUUUGAGCUGUUACUUCCCCAAAUUCUUACAUGGAGGUGGUAGCUCUCAUACAUGCGAACUCUUGACCUGCGACUUGCAUGGAGAUAAUCGAUGAACGUUUUGUGUUCACUACAAAAGGGGCUGGGAAGUUCUGUAUACCUUCUAUCAUUGGCAUUGUUUAUUAUUGUCAGGUGCAGAAAUAUUCCACAAAGCUUUUAUCAGAAACCACUUGGCUAUUAUAUAUAAGAUAAUUCCUUUUAUUUGGAAGCUUGCAAAUAAUGGUCUACCCUAGAUACCUAUAUGUUGAGUUGCUGGUUCAAUUAUUCUUUACUCAAAUUUGCAUCUCAAAUCAAAGAGUUGGGCAGAUAAGGAAACUUAUAAUACUCAUGUGCUCUCACACUUCAAUGAAGCAGCUAUGCCAAGCCCGUCAACUAUUUUUGUAGCUCAUUUUACCCAUUAUAAUUCCAGUUGUCUAAAGUUAACCAAAAUUUAUGGGCUGCUCCUUUGUAUAUGUUUUGCUCCGUAUGUGCAUAUGAAGCAGACUUAAGGCACAUAUAAGUUUUCCAUUUUUUAUGUUAAUGCAUCAAGUUAAUUCCUAGCUAUGUAUUUUUAGUUAGGGUAAAAUUUUAAAGAUGAAAGUCUUACUACUUAUGCGGAAGUAUGCUAUGCUAAGAAUUGGAGGCUUGUUUUGGGAUCAAUUAAAUCGCAUUGUGUAUAUUUGUUUUAAAAACAGAGAACUCUAAGUUUAGCGAUCCGGCCAAUCUUGUAUCAUCACAAACAUCUAUAUUUUGUACCUUUAUAUGACAAUAAUUGUUACCAUUAUAUCAGAAGUAGGACGGGCGCAGCAACGCGCGUUGUAAUGGUCUAGUAGUACUUAGUGACAUAUGGGCUGCUGAUACGUCUCAAACGUAUCUAUAAUUUCUUAUGUUCCAUGCUACUUUAUUAAUGAUACUCACAUGUUUUAUACAUACUUUAUAUCAUAUUUAUGCAUUUUCCAGCACUAACCUAUUGACAAGAUGCCGAAGAGCCAGUUGCUGUUUUCUGCUGUUUUUGGUUUCAGAAAUCCUACAAAGGAAAUAUUCUCGGAAUUGGACGAAAUCAACGUCCAGGGUCUUAUUUUUCCACGAAGCUUCCAGAAGACCGAGGGAGAUACGAAGUGGGGCCACGAGGUGGCGCCACACUAAGGCGGUGCGGCCAAGGAGGGGCCCGCGCCGCCCUGUUGUGUGGGCCCCUCGUGACGCCCCUAAACCUGCCCUUCCGCCUAUAAGAAGCCUUCAUCGCGAAUACCCCAGUACCGAGAGCCACGAUACGGAAAACCUUCCAGAGACGCCGCCGCCGCCAAUCCCAUCUCGGGGGAUUCAGGAGAUUGCCUCCAGCACCUUGCCGGAGAGGGGAAUCAUCUCCCGGAGGACUCUUCAUCGCCAUGAUCGCCUCCGGAGUGAUGUGUGAGUAGUUCACCCCUGGACUAUGGGUCCAUAGCAGUAGCUAGAUGGUUGUCUUCUCCUCAUGUGUAAUCAUUGUUCGAUCUUGUGAGCUGCCUAUCAUGAUCAAGAUCAUCUAUUUGUAA